GUAAUUGCGUAAACUACACGCGCAUUCAUUAUAUGCGAUUUGUUCUUCGCCAUCGCCGCCGUCUUGGUACCCUCUUCGCGAACGCAAGAGAAACGGCUACGAAAUCAAAUCAGAGAGGACAACCUCUGUCAAGCAUUACUUCCAAGCUCCCCUUCCCCUUUGUUGACUGACUUGAGGGAGCUAAUUACAAUUCUGCGUACGAAUACGAAUUUGAUGAAUUUGAUUGGAUCCUCUUUUAUCUAAGCAGGCUUUGUACCAAAAACAGGGUCUGUUUCUUAUCUCACUGAUCCAUCAAAGGUGGAGGAGGCUUCUGCUGAAGGUAACGCACAGCUGGAGGUUGUAGAGAGGUUGCUCAAGGUUUAUUUGGCGUGCCCUCCCAAGACCAAAAACAUCAUGGAACUCAAGGUUCAGUUGUAGAUACCUUUAUUAAGUGGAGAGAGCACACUAUCAAAGAAUAAUAAUGGCUUAGAGCAGAGAUAAAGAGCAAAGAACGCAAAGAGUCUUUUGUUACUUUUUCUUAAUAAUAAACCUCACACAAUUCUGCAGUUGUUUCAUUGAAAUGUUUGCAAUUUUUCUGUAAUUUUAUGUCUAUCUUUAGCACUGAUGCUGUUAGGUUAUAAAUCUUUGGAUUCAAAUACAUUAAUGAUUUUGUUCAGAAUUUUGUGGAGAAGAAUAUGUAUGAUACAAAGAACAAUAUCAACAUUUUUGCUUCUGUUCUAUACAAUAAGAUUUUGGUUUUCCAUAAUAAGAACCAGUUUUGAGUUCUAAGCAAAAAUAUCACAGAAUAUCUAAACAAAUGAUGCAUGUAAUGAUCAUACACAACUCUGUCUUUCUACUUCCCAGAGGCUACAUUGAUUGCACUCCGUCGUCAUCAUGAAGAUGUUCAGCUCCUUUGUUCUUUUUUUUCU